rnacentral:rRNA from 1 species
UACGGAGGGGACUAGCGUUGUUCGGAAUUACUGGGCGUAAAGCGCGCGUAGGAGGAUUUGCAAGUCGGGGGUGAAAUCCCGAGGCUCAACCUCGUAACUGCCUUCGAUACUGCAAAUCUCGAGUCCGGAAGAGGUGAGUGGAAUUCCUAGUGUAGAGGUGAAAUUCGUAGAUAUUAGGAAGAACACCAGUGGCGAAGGCGGCACACUGGUCCGGUACUGACGCUGAGGCGCUAAAGCGUGGGGAGGAAACAGG